CCAGACUCCUACGGGAGGCAGCAGUGGGGAAUAUUGCACAAUGGGGGAAACCCUGAUGCAGCGACGCCGCGUGAGUGAAGAAGUAUUUCGGUAUGUAAAGCUCCAUCAGCAGGGAAGAAAAUGACGGUACCUGAUUAAGAAGCCCCGGCUAACUACGUGCCAGCAGCCGCGGUAAUACGUAGGGGGCAAGCGUUAUCCGGAUUUACUGGGUGUAAAGGGAGCGUAGACGGUGAUGCAAGUCAGAAGUGAAAGCCCGGGGCUCAACUCCGGGACUGCUUUUGAAACUGUGUGACUGGAGUGCAGGAGAGGUAAGCGGAAUUCCUGGUGUAGCGGUGAAAUGCGUAGAUAUUAGGAGGAACACCAGUGGCGAAGGCGGCCUGCUGGACUGUAACUGACGUUGAGGCUCGAAAGCGUGGGGAGCAAACAGGAUUAGAUACCCCGGUA
rnacentral:rRNA from 1 species